UGGCCACAUCACAUUGAAACAUCAAUUCUCAUAUGAUCACCAAAGUUAAGCAAUGUUAAGCUUGGUCAGUACCUAGAUGGGUGACUGCUUGAGAAUACCAGGUGCUGUAAG